rnacentral:rRNA from 1 species
AUUGGACGCUGGCGGCAGGCCUAACACAUGCAAGUCGAGCGGAUGAAGAGAGCUUGCUCUCUGAUUCAGCGGCGGACGGGUGAGUAAUGCCUAGGAAUCUGCCUGGUAGUGGGGGACAACGUUCCGAAAGGAACGCUAAUACCGCAUACGUCCUACGGGAGAAAGUGGGGGAUCUUCGGACCUCACGCUAUCAGAUGAGCCUAGGUACGAUUAGCUAGUUGGUGAGGUAAAGGCUCACCAAGGCGACGAUCGUUAACUGGUCUGAGAGGAUGAUCAGUCACACUGGAACUGAGACACGGUCCAGACUCCUACGGGAGGCAGCAGUGGGGAAUAUUGGACAAUGGGCGAAAGCCUGAUCCAGCCAUGCCGCGUGUGUGAAGAAGGUCUUCGGAUUGUAAAGCACUUUAAGUUGGGAGGAAGGGCAGUAAGUUAAUACCUUGCUGUUUUGACGUUACCGACAGAAUAAGCACCGGCUAACUUCGUGCCAGCAGCCGCAGUAACAC